GAUGAACGCUAGCGGCAGGCUUAACACAUGCAAGUCGAGGGGUAUAGUUCUUCGGAGCUAGAAACCGGCGCACGGGUGCGUAACGCGUAUGCAAUCUACCUUUUGCAGAGGGAUAGCCCAGAGAAAUUUGGAUUAAUACCUCAUAGUAUGUGAGAAUGGCAUCAUUUUCACAUUAAAGUCACAACGGCAAAAGAUGAGCAUGCGUCCCAUUAGCUUGUCGGUAAGGUAACGGCUUACCAAGGCAACGAUGGGUAGGGGUCCUGAGAGGGAGGUCCCCCGCAGUGGUACUGAGACACGGACCAGACUCCUACGGGAGGCAGAAGUGGGGAAUAUUGGACAAUGGGCGCAAGCCUGAUCCAGCCAUGCCGCGUGCAGGAUGACGGUCCUAUGGAUAGUAAACUGCUUUUGUACAGGAAGAAUCACUGGUUCGUGAACCAGCUUGACGGUACUGUAAGAAUAAGGAUCGGCUAACUCCGUGCCAGCCGCCGCGGUAAAAC
rnacentral:rRNA from 1 species